rnacentral:siRNA from 1 species
UCGGAACCUGGCUCUAAUACCAU